AUUGUGAGUAAGAAGAAAAACAAAGGUUUUUAUCAUCCAGGGCACAACCACAACCUACUUGGCCAUGCAUGGAGACUCUAUGAAGAAGACAAGUCAUUGGAAUUGAUUGAUGAGGCUCUAUGGGACUCAUGCUACCAAAUUGAAAUGUUACGAUCAAUCCAUGUUGGUCAUUUAUGUGUGCAAGAAAGUCCAAAAGAUAGGCCAAGCAUGUCAUCUGCAGUUCUAAUGUUGGGCAGUGAAGCUGCAUUGCCUCAAGCCAAACAACCUGGCUUCUUCACUGCAAGAAACGUUCUUCAGACUGGUUCUUUGUCAAGCAAGGAAGCAACAACUACGGGCAAUGAAAUCACCAGUACUAUGUUAUGUGCUCGAUAGAAAUUAUACCAUGUACAAGGUGAAAGCUUAAUCAUUGUUUCUGGUUACAAGUUUACAUGCACAA